CAGUCGCCGCGGUAAUCCGUAGGUGGCAAGCGUUGUCCGGAAUUAUUGGGCGUAAAGGGCUCGCAGGCGGUUUCUUAAGUCUGAUGUGAAAGCCCCCGGCUCAACCGGGGAGGGUCAUUGGAAACUGGGAAACUUGAGUGCAGAAGAGGAGAGUGGAAUUCCACGUGUAGCGGUGAAAUGCGUAGAGAUGUGGAGGAACACCAGUGGCGAAGGCGACUCUCUGGUCUGUAACUGACGCUGAGGAGCGAAAGCGUGGGGAGCGAACAGGAUUAGAUACCCCUGUGUCCCUGUCUCUUAUACA
rnacentral:rRNA from 1 species